AUGUGGAGUCUCACUUUUUUAGCUCAGCAGAGUGGUUUUAGCUUUUACUUUUGCCCCUUAGGCUUCUCAUUCUGUCUUCAGUGAUUAAUGCUGUUUUGUUACUUUAAAGACCCCAAAGCCGGCUCUGGUGAUUGGCUGUUCAUUUGGUUGCCCUGAUGUAAUCAUUGGAGGGAAUGGCAUUAAUGGACCAUGGAGUAAUUGGUACCCAUAUGUGGAUGGACUGAUUUAGACUGACUACUAAAGUGACCCAAUUUAUUGUUUGGAAAACAAAACACUUAAUCAUAGGGGAAACAAACCAGUGAAGGAGAUACUAAAGGAUGAUCCCUAAUAACGUUAUAGUUUGGUGGACCCUCAAGAUUUAUCUUUGAACUCUAACCAUGAGGAUGGCACUGAAAUGAAAAGAGAAGCACUCCGCAGCCUGACUGUUAGCCUGGAGUAUGCUGAUGAGACUUUGUGCACCCCUGGGUGUAAUUAAUAUUCAUC